AUAAGUGAAGGCCCGGUGAUGCCAGGCUGCAGUAACGGGUCGCCUCCUGCGCUGACCCUCUGACGCGACUUUUCUUUCGACCCUUAUCGGGGACCGUCGCGACCGUGUCUUUCCUAUCAUUCUUCGCGUUGCCCUUUCUCUCCUUUUCCGCGACUGGCCGCUGCCCCAAACACUUUCCUCUGUUUUUGUACCGCGCGAAGAAAUGGUCGAGGGUCGCUUCGGUUCCCGCGGUAAUGGCGAGGUGGUUUAUUCGGGAAACGGAGGAGCAACACGUGGUUCCGGCAGGCGACGCCGGCCGAUCGCGUCCGAAGCCGUGGUGCGUCUCGCCGUCGCGGAACAGGAAACACGUGCCGGCUUGUAGUAUGAAAAGUGACUCGCGCGGGAAACGCGAACCGCGACGCGGGGGAUGCUGCUCUUCGGAUUUAGCCUGUGCAUGUCUGGAAUUAUUCUGCUGUGUCCUUCGAUCUUUCUCAUUUUAGAGGCUUCGGGUUCUCAGUGUUGACACGGCUAACGUCACAGUGCUAGUCUAUAGUCGUAGUUGUUUAUUGCGUAGUAGCAGACGAAUAGGAUUAGGAAUUUCCUAGUAGUAGUGUCGAGUGAACAACUUUUUGCUAAUUGAUUGUAAUUGAUGAUUUCAUGCAACCAAAGAUGGCGGAGAACGUCGAAGAAGAAGGGCGAGGAGAGGGACGGCAGGAUUAAUUAUCCCCACUCCCGCUCGUCGAACAGUAGAGAGGGAAGAGACCUGGAAGAAAGAUAAGAACGAAGCGGCCACGAUACGCUACGCUCCCACCACCUCGACGAGAAGGACAGAAGGAGUUCCUGGACUCCACCUAUUCCCCUUCCGAACCUGUUGUCCUUCGACGACGAAAAGCUACGCUACCAAUAUUCUCGUGUUUACGAAAAUAGACGCUUAGAAUCGGAAGUUUAUAAUCGAUGCUGAAUCAUGGUUGCCAAGUUACCGAUCGGAAUCGUUUUAUUCGGGUAGUUUUAAGGAUUCACAAGGGAUUUACUAUUUGUAAUUUAUAUUUCAGCUCAACAGCCACAAGUAAAUUGCAUUUAUUUCUAAGAAACUUUAUGGUAGUAGUCGCAAUAACCAAAAUGGAGUGAACAUUCGAAAGUUGAGAUACUAGAAACUAAGCAAACGCGCGCGUGACUUAACACUCUCGAUUACUCUAUCGCGUGUGAGUCGAGUGAGAAGCUUCUUCGCAACGUAUCAAAGAUUCAUUCGAUUUAUUUCUCCGUAGCUUAAAGAAUCUACAGAGUCGCGUAAAAUGGUAAAACUACAAAGUAUUACACCUACUAGAAGUUUUAUAAAUUGCAGGAUUUUCUAAUAUUCUAAUAUUCUACUAUUCUAAUAUUUUAAUGUUUUCCUCAUUUGAGAUACAGGAAAACGUUGAACCAGUAAUAACCAGUUUUCGAAACUUGUCCUUUCGUUUGGUAAAACACAGCGUUGACUUGGCGAAGCAAAAACCAUAGAAUGAAUUAAUUUCUCCGUAAAAGUAUAUAUAGACCGAACGAUGAAAGCAGGGGUUCCUUUUUGCGCGCAGCCACUGUCUUUGCACACAUUUUUGUCCGUUUUUCUCUGG